rnacentral:rRNA from 1 species
GGGUUGUGAGGUUAAGCGACUAAGCGUACACGGUGGAUGCCCUGGCAGUCAGAGGCGAUGAAGGGCGUGCUAAUCUGCGAUAAGCGCCGGUAAGGUGAUAUGAACCGUUAUAACCGGCGAUACCCGAAUGGGGAAACCCAGUGUGACUCGUCACACUAUCAUUAACUGAAUCCAUAGGUUAAUGAGGCGAACCGGGGGAACUGAAACAUCUAAGUACCCCGAGGAAAAGAAAUCAACCGAGAUUCCCCCAGUAGCGGCGAGCGAACGGGGAGGAGCCCAGAGCCUGAAUCAGCAUGUGUGUUAGUGGAAGCGUCUGGAAAGGCGCGCGAUACAGGGUGACAGCCCCGUACACAAAAGCGCAUGUGCUGUGAGCUCGAUGAGUAGGGCGGGACACGUGGUAUCCUGUCUGAAUAUGGGGGGACCAUCCUCCAAGGCUAAAUACUCCUGACUGACCGAUAGUGAACCAGUACCGUGAGGGAAAGGCGAAAAGAACCCCGGCGAGGGGAGUGAAAAAGAACCUGAAACCGUGUACGUACAAGCAGUGGGAGCACAGGUUUACCUGUGUGACUGCGUACCUUUUGUAUAAUGGGUCAGCGACUUAUAUUCUGUAGCAAGGUUAACCGUAUAGGGGAGCCGAAGGGAAACCGAGUCUUAACCGGGCGUUAAGUUGCAGGGUAUAGACCCGAAACCCGGUGAUCUAGCCAUGGGCAGGUUGAAGGUUGGGUAACACUAACUGGAGGACCGAACCGACUAAUGUUGAAAAAUUAGCGGAUGACCUGUGGCUGGGGGUGAAAGGCCAAUCAAACCGGGAGAUAGCUGGUUCUCCCCGAAAGCUAUUUAGGUAGCGCCUCGUGAACUCAUCUCCGGGGGUAGAGCACUGUUUCGGCUAGGGGGCCAUCCCGGCUUACCAACCCGAUGCAAACUGCGAAUACCGGAGAAUGUUAUCACGGGAGACACACGGCGGGUGCUAACGUCCGUCGUGAAGAGGGAAACAACCCAGACCGCCAGCUAAGGUCCCAAAGUCAUGGUUAAGUGGGAAACGAUGUGGGAAGGCCCAGACAGCCAGGAUGUUGGCUUAGAAGCAGCCAUCAUUUAAAGAAAGCGUAAUAGCUCACUGGUCGAGUCGGCCUGCGCGGAAGAUGUAACGGGGCUAAACCAUGCACCGAAGCUGCGGCAGCGACAUUUAGGUGUUGUUGGGUAGGGGAGCGUUCUGUAAGCCUGUGAAGGUGGCCUGUGAGGGUUGCUGGAGGUAUCAGAAGUGCGAAUGCUGACAUAAGUAACGAUAAAGCGGGUGAAAAGCCCGCUCGCCGGAAGACCAAGGGUUCCUGUCCAACGUUAAUCGGGGCAGGGUGAGUCGACCCCUAAGGCGAGGCCGAAAGGCGUAGUCGAUGGGAAACAGGUUAAUAUUCCUGUACUUGGUGUUACUGCGAAGGGGGGACGGAGAAGGCUAUGUUGGCCGGGCGACGGUUGUCCCGGUUUAAGCGUGUAGGUGUGUGUUCCAGGUAAAUCCGGUUCACUUUAACACUGAGGCGUGACGACGAGGCACUACGGUGCUGAAGCAACAAAUGCCCUGCUUCCAGGAAAAGCCUCUAAGCAUCAGGUAGCAUCAAAUCGUACCCCAAACCGACACAGGUGGUCAGGUAGAGAAUACCAAGGCGCUUGAGAGAACUCGGGUGAAGGAACUAGGCAAAAUGGUGCCGUAACUUCGGGAGAAGGCACGCUGACACGUAGGUGAAGUGAUUUACUCAUGGAGCUGAAGUCAGUCGAAGAUACCAGCUGGCUGCAACUGUUUAUUAAAAACACAGCACUGUGCAAACACGAAAGUGGACGUAUACGGUGUGACGCCUGCCCGGUGCCGGAAGGUUAAUUGAUGGGGUCAGCGCAAGCGAAGCUCCUGAUCGAAGCCCCGGUAAACGGCGGCCGUAACUAUAACGGUCCUAAGGUAGCGAAAUUCCUUGUCGGGUAAGUUCCGACCUGCACGAAUGGCGUAAUGAUGGCCAGGCUGUCUCCACCCGAGACUCAGUGAAAUUGAACUCGCUGUGAAGAUGCAGUGUACCCGCGGCAAGACGGAAAGACCCCGUGAACCUUUACUAUAGCUUGACACUGAACAUUGAGCCUUGAUGUGUAGGAUAGGUGGGAGGCUUUGAAGCGUGGACGCCAGUCUGCGUGGAGCCGACCUUGAAAUACCACCCUUUAAUGUUU